GCUAAUACCGCGUAAGCGCUUAUGCGUGAAAGGAUGGUGACAUCCGCCGGUGGAGGGGCUCGCGUCCUAUCAGCUAGUUGGUGAGGUAACGGCUUACCAAGGCGAAGACGGGUAGCCGGCCUGAGAGGGUGUACGGCCACACUGGGACUGAGAUACGGCCCAGGCUCCUACGGGAGGCAGCAGUGGGGAAUAUUGGGCAAUGGGGGGAACCCUGACCCAGCGACGCCGCGUGAGUGAAGAAGUCCUUCGGGACGUAAAGCUCUGUUGUACGGGAAGAAGGAAGUGACGGUACCGUACGAGGAGGCCCCGGCAAACUACGUGCCAGCAGCCGCGGUAAUACGUAGGGGGCUAGCGUUGUCCGGAAUUACUGGGCGUAAAGGGCACGCAGGCUGGUUUGUAAGUCGGUUGUAAAAGACAUGGGCUUAACCUAUGCAAGUCGACCGAUACUGCAAGCCUAGAGUAUGUGAGAGGGAAGUGGAAUUCCCGGUGUAGCGGUGAAAUGCGUAGAUAU
rnacentral:rRNA from 1 species